CCUACGGGUGGCAGCAGCGGGGAAUAUUGCACAAUGGGCGCAAGCCUGAUGCAGCCAUGCCGCGUGUGUGAAGAAGGCCUUCGGGUUGUAAAGCACUUUCAGCGGGGAGGAAGGCGGUGAGGUUAAUAACCUCAUCGAUUGACGUUACCCGCAGAAGAAGCACCGGCUAACUCCGUGCCAGCAGCCGCGGUAAUACGGAGGAUGCAAGCGUUAAUCGGAAUUACUGGGCGUAAAGCGCACGCAGGCGGUCUGUCAAGUCGGAUGUGAAAUCCCCGGGCUCAACCUGGGAACUGCAUUCGAAACUGGCAGGCUAGAGUCUUGUAGAGGGGGGUAGAAUUCCAGGUGUAGCGGUGAAAUGCGUAGAGAUCUGGAGGAAUACCGGUGGCGAAGGCGGCCCCCUGGACAAAGACUGACGCUCAGGUGCGAAAGCGUGGGGAGCAAACAGGAUUAGAUACCCGUGUAGUC
rnacentral:rRNA from 1 species